CUUUUUUUGGAUUAAUUUUAAAAUAUAACCUGCCCACUGAUUAUAUUAAAGGGCCGCGGUAAUUUGACCGUGCAAAGGUAGCAUAAUCAUUAGUCUUUUAAUUGGAGGCUUGUAUGAAUGGUUGGACGAAAUAUAAACUGUCUUUAUUUAAUUGUAAUUUGAAUUUAAAUUUUAAGUUAAAAUGCUUAAAUUUUUUUAUGGGACGAGAAGACCCUAUAGAAUUUAAUAUUAUAAUGUUAUUUAUGGUUGGGUUAAUUUUAUUAAUUUUGUAGUAUUUGGUUGGGGUGAUUGAAAAAUAUAUUAAACUUUUUUUUUGUUGUUUAUACUGAUUGGUAUAUUGUUGAUCCAUUUUUUUUGAUUAUAAGUUAAAAUUACCUUAGGGAUAACAGCGUAAUUUUUCUUGAGAGUUCUUAUUGACAGGAUAGAUUGCGA
rnacentral:rRNA from 1 species